ACCGGCUGGGAACAGAGCAGCCCUUCUCCUCGCAGUAGUGAGU
rnacentral:SRP_RNA from 1 species